rnacentral:rRNA from 1 species
GUAGGUGGCAAGCGUUGUCCGGAAUUAUUGGGCGUAAAGCGCGCGCAGGCGGUUCUUUAAGUCUGAUGUGAAAGCCCACGGCUCAACCGUGGAGGGUCAUUGGAAACUGGAGAACUUGAGUACAGAAGAGGAAAGCGGAAUUCCACGUGUAGCGGUGAAAUGCGUAGAGAUGUGGAGGAACACCAGUGGCGAAGGCGGCUUUCUGGUCUGUAACUGACGCUGAGGCGCGAAAGCGUGGGGGAGCAAACAGGAUUAGAUACCCUGGUAGUCCACGCCGUAAACGAUGAGUGCUAAGUGUUAGGGGGUUUCCCGCCCCUUAGUGCUGCAGCUAACGCAUUAAGCACUCCCGCCUGGGAGUACGGCCGCAAGGCUG